rnacentral:rRNA from 1 species
AAGACCCGUGCCCACAGUUGCCAGCAUAUCCGCAAGGAUGAUGGGCACACUGUGGGGACCGCCGCUGCUAAAGCGGAGGAAGGAGCGGGCUACGGUAGGUCAGUAUGCCCCGAAUCAUCCGGGCUACACGCGGGCUACAAUGGUUGGGACAAUGGGCACCUACACCGAGAGGUGAUGGUAAUCUCCUAAACCCAGCCUUAGUUCGGAUUGAGGGCUGCAACUCGCCCUCAUGAAGCCGGAAUCCGUAGUAAUCGCGUAUCAAUAUCACGCGGUGAAUAC